rnacentral:rRNA from 1 species
GAUGAACGCUGGCGGCGUGCCUAACACAUGCAAGUCGAGCGAAGCGCCUUACUUGAUUUCUUCGGGAUGAAAGUAUUGUGACUGAGCGGCGACGGGUGAGUACGCGUAGAGUACCUGCCUCAUACAGGGGGAUAACAGUUAGAAAUGACUGCUAAUACCGCAUAAGACCACAGCACCGCAUGGUGCAGGGGUUAAAAACUCCGGUGGUAUGAGAUGGAUCCGCGUCUGAUUAGCUAGUUGGUAAGGUAACGGCUUACCAAGGCAACGAUCAGUAGCCGACCUGAGAGGGUGACCGGCCACAUUGGGACUGAGCACGGCCCAA